rnacentral:rRNA from 1 species
GAUGAACGCUAGCUACAGGCUUAACACAUGCAAGUCGAGGGGCAGCAUGGUCUUAGCUUGCUAAGACUGAUGGCGACCGGCGCACGGGUGAGUAACACGUAUCCAACCUGCCGUCUACUCUUGGACAGCCUUCUGAAAGGAAGAUUAAUACAAGAUGGCAUCAUGAGUCCGCAUGUUCACAUGAUUAAAGGUAUUCCGGUAGACGAUGGGGAUGCGUUCCAUUAGAUAGUAGGCGGGGUAACGGCCCACCUAGUCUUCGAUGGAUAGGGGUUCUGAGAGGAAGGUCCCCCACAUUGGAACUGAGACACGGUCCAAACUCCUACGGGAGGCAGCAGUGAGGAAUAUUGGUCAAUGGACGAGAGUCUGAACCAGCCAAGUAGCGUGAAGGAUGACUGCCCUAUGGGUUGUAAACUUCUUUUAAUACGGGAAUAAAGUGAGGCACGUGUGCCUUUUGUAUGUACCGUAUGAAUAAGGAUCGGCUAACUCCGU